rnacentral:rRNA from 1 species
UACGUAGGGGGCUAGCGUUGUCCGGAAUCAUUGGGCGUAAAGAGCGCGUAGGCGGCUAGAUAAGUCCGGUGUGAAAGUCACAGGCUCAACCUGUGAAUGCCGCUGGAAACUGUCUGGCUAGAGUCCGGAAGGGGCGAGUGGAAUUCCUGGUGUAGCGGUGAAAUGCGCAGAUAUCAGGAGGAACACCGAUGGCGAAGGCAGCUCGCUGGGACGGUACUGACGCUGAGGCGCGAAAGCGUGGGGAGCAAACAGG